rnacentral:rRNA from 1 species
UAUGGCCAUACUACCCUGAAUGCGCCUGAUCUCCUCUGAUCUUGGAAGCUAAGCAGGGUCAGGCCUGGUUAGUACUUGGAUGGGAGGGAUAACACUAGUCCUUUGCUAUAU